GACGAACGCUGGCGGCGUGCUUAACACAUGCAAGUCGAACGGGAAGGCCCUGCUUUUGUGGGGUGCUCGAGUGGCGAACGGGUGAGUAACACGUGAGUAACCUGCCCUUGACUUUGGGAUAACUUCAGGAAACUGGGGCUAAUAACGGAUAGGAGCUCCUGCUGCAUGGUGGGGGUUGGAAAGUUUCGGCGGUUGGGGAUGGACUCGCGGCUUAUCAGCUUGUUGGUGGGGUAGUGGCUUACCAAGGCUUUGACGGGUAGCCGGCCUGAGAGGGUGACCGGCCACAUUGGGACUGAGAGACGGACCAGACUCCUACGGGAGGCAGCAGUGGGGAAUAUUGCACAAUGGGCGGAAGCCUGAUGCAGCAACGCCGCGUGCGGGAUGACGGCCUUCGGGUUAUAAACCGCUUUCGCCUGUGACGAAGCGUGAGUGACGGUAAUGGGUAAAGAAGCACCGGCUAACUACGUG
rnacentral:rRNA from 1 species